rnacentral:rRNA from 1 species
AGAGUAGCCGCGGUAAUACGGAGGGUGCAAGCGUUAUCCGGAUUUAUUGGGUUUAAAGGGUCCGUAGGCGGAUCUGUAAGUCAGUGGUGAAAUCUCACAGCUUAACUGUGAAACUGCCAUUGAUACUGCAGGUCUUGAGUAAAUUUGAAGUGGCUGGAAUAAGUAGUGUAGCGGUGAAAUGCAUAGAUAUUACUUAGAACACCAAUUGCGAAGGCAGGUCACUAAGAUUUAACUGACGCUGAUGGACGAAAGCGUGGGGAGCGAACAGGAUUAGAGACCCCCGUAGUCCCUGUCUCUUAUACA